rnacentral:rRNA from 1 species
UACGUAGGGUGCAAGCGUUAAUCGGAAUUACUGGGCGUAAAGCGUGCGCAGGCGGUUAUGCAAGACAGAGGUGAAAUCCCCGGGCUCAACCUGGGAACUGCCUUUGUGACUGCAUAGCUAGAGUACGGCAGAGGGGGAUGGAAUUCCGCGUGUAGCAGUGAAAUGCGUAGAUAUGCGGAGGAACACCGAUGGCGAAGGCAAUCCCCUGGGCCUGUACUGACGCUCAUGCACGAUAGCGUGGGGAGCAAACAGG